rnacentral:rRNA from 1 species
CCUACGGGAGGCAGCAGUGGGGAAUAUUGCACAAUGGGGGAAACCCUGAUGCAGCGACGCCGCGUGAGCGAGGACGUAUUUCGGUAUUUAAAGCUCUAUCAGCAGGGACGAAAAAAGACGGUACCUGACUAAGAAGCCCCGGCUAACUACGUGCCAGCAGCCGCGGUAAUACGGAGGGGGCAAGCGUUAUCCGGAUUUACUGGGGGUAAAGGGAGCGUAGACGGCAAGUCAAGCCAGGAGGUAAAGGGGAGGGCUCAACCCUGUACAUGCGUGUGAAACUGUGGUGCUAGAGUGCAGGAGAGGUAAGUGGAAUGCGUAGUGUAGCGGUGAAAUGCAUAGAUAUCACGCAGAACUCCGAUUGCGAAGGCAGCAUACCGGCGCUCAACUGACGCUCAUGCACGAAAGCGUGGGUAUCGAACAGGAUUAGAUACCCGAGUAGUC